rnacentral:rRNA from 1 species
UCUCGGUUCUCAUUGUGCUGGGCAUUGUAGUACGUGUGCAGCCCUAGGCGUAAGGGCCAUACUGACCUGACGUCGUCCCCACCUUCCUCCCAGUUGAUCUGGGCAGUCUGACUAGAGUCCCCGGCCGAACCGCUGGCAACUAAUCACAAGGGUUGCGCUCGUUGCGGGACUUAACCCAACAUCUCACGACACGAGCUGA